CGGAGGGAGGAAGCAGGGAGCCGAGGUGGAGGCUGGGAAGGAGCCCUCCCAGGGAGGAGCUUGGGAUCUGGACGUUUCUAAUACACAGAAAAUUAGGCUGAGGGGGUCGACCGAAGAUACAACAUCCGCCAUCCCUCUCCAGUCCAGAAAUCAUCCUACAAACUGGCCUUGCGCCCAACCAGAACCAGAAUGAUGACCAGUUAGUGGCGAAGCAAAGCAAAGAGAACAUGAACUCCUGGGUCAUCCAGUCUCUGCCCUCACUGUGUGUCCAUCACGACAUGCGCCAGCAGAGAAGCCGCCCCUCCCCAGAACACGGACCGGAGGUUCUCCUGCACCCAAUGCCCAUGUGAUGGCAUGAAGGACAUAUGUGACCCCACAUCUUUCCUCAGGGUUGGAUCACUGAUGGAUUCCCAUGACUUAUUUCCUCCCGAGAUCCAAUGUGAGCCUGCUGAAUUCAUAAGGGGGGGAUUCUAUGUUUUCCCUACUGGAUCUUUUAAAAAUCAUUAUUAUCACUUGUAUGAUAAAAAUUAAUGAAAAUUGUUUCUUAAAAUUA